rnacentral:rRNA from 1 species
AGUCGAGGGGUAUAGGUUUUCGGACCUAGAGACCGGCGCACGGGUGCGUAACGCGUAUGCAAUCUACCUUUUACAGAGGGAUAGCCCAGAGAAAUUUGGAUUAAUACCUCAUAGUAUUAUUGAAUGGCAUCAUUUAAUAAUUAAAGUCACAACGGUAAAAGAUGAGCAUGCGUCCCAUUAGCUUGUUGGUAAGGUAACGGCUUACCAAGGCAACGAUGGGUAGGGGUCCUGAGAGGGAGAUCCCCCACACUGGUACUGAGACACGGACCAGACUCCUACGGGAGGCAGCAGUGAGGAAUAUUGGUCAAUGGGCGCAAGCCUGAACCAGCCAUGCCGCGUGCAGGAUGAAGCAUCUAUGGUGUGUAAACUGCUUUUGUACGAGAAGAAACACUCCUACGUGUAGGAGCUUGACGGUAUCGUAAGAAUAAGGACCGGCUAACUCCGUGCCAGCAGCCGCGGUAAUACGGAGGGUCCAAGCGUUAUCCGGAAUCAUUGGGUUUAAAGGGUCCGUAGGCGGUUUUGUAAGUCAGUGGUGAAAGCCCAUCGCUCAACGGUGGAACGGCCAUUGAUACUGCAAGACUUGAAUUAUUGGGAAGUAACUAGAAUAUGUAGUGUAGCGGUGAAAUGCUUAGAGAUUACAUGGAAUACCAAUUGCGAAGGCAGGUUACUACCAAUAUAUUGACGCUGAUGGACGAAAGCGUGGGGAGCGAACAGGAUUAGAUACCCUGGUAGUCCACGCCGUAAACGAUGGAUACUAGCUGUUCGGAGCAAUCUGAGUGGCUAAGCGAAAGUGAUAAGUAUCCCACCUGGGGAGUACGUU